rnacentral:rRNA from 1 species
GGGGAAUAUUGGACAAUGGACCGAGAGUCUGAUCCAGCAAUUCUGUGUGCACGAUGAAGUUUUUCGGAAUGUAAAGUGCUUUCAGUUGUGAAGAAAAAAAUGACGGUACCAACAGAAGAAGUGACGGCUAAAUACGUGCCAGCAGCCGCGGUAAUACGUAUGUCACGAGCGUUAUCCGGAUUUAUUGGGCGUAAAGCGCGUCUAGGUGGUUAUGUAAGUCUGAUGUGAAAAUGCAGGGCUCAACUCUGUAUUGCGUUGGAAACUGAAUAACUAGAGUACUGGAGAGGUAAGCGGAACUACAAGUGUAGAGGUGAAAUUCGUAGAUAUUUGUAGGAAUGCCGAUGGGGAAGCCAGCUUACUGGACAGAUACUGACGCUAAAGCGCGAAAGCGUGGGUAGCAAACAGGAUUAGAUACCCUGGUAGUCCACGCUGUAAACGAUGAUUACUAGGUGUUGGGGGUCGAACCUCAGCGCCCAAGCAAACGCGAUAAGUAAUCCGCCUGGGGAGUACGUACGCAAGUAUG